AACACGGACCUUUGGGACGUGUGCUUUUAUUAGGCUAAAACCAAGCGAUCGCAAGAUCGUUAUUAUGGUUGAACUCUAGAUAACUUGCAGAUCGUAUGGUCUUGUACCGACGACAGAUCUUUCAAACGUCUGCCCUAUCAACUUUUGAUGGUAGUAUCUAGGACUACCAUGGUUGCAACGGGUAACGGGGAAUCAGGGUUCGAUUCCGGAGAGGGAGCCUGAGAAACGGCUACCACAUCUGAGGAAGGCAGCAGGCGCGUAAAUUACCCACUCCCAGCCCGGGGAGGUAGUGACGAAAAAUAACAAUACAGGUCUCAUUAUAGAGGCCCUGUAAUUGGAAUGAGUACACUUUAAAUCCUUUAACAAGGACCUAUUGGAGGGCAAGUCUGGUGCCAGCAGCCGCGGUAACUCCAGCUCCAAUAGCCUAUAUUAAAGUUGUUGCGGUUAAAACGUUCGUAGUUGAACUUGUGCUUCAUACGGGUAGUAUAACUAUAAUUGUAGUCUGUACUAUACCUUAUGUAUGUAAGCGUAUCACUGGUGGAGUUCUUAUAUAUAUUAAAUACUUGUAUUUAUAUGUAUUCCUCCUAUUUAAACCUGCUUCAGUGCUCUUCAUUGCGUGCUGUUGUAGGCCGGUACAAUUACUUUGAACAAAUUAGAGUGCUUAAAGCAGGCUCCAAAUGCCUGAAUAUUUUGUGCAUGGAAUAAUGAAAUAAGACCUCUGUUCUACUUUCAUUGGUUUUUAGAUCAAGAGGUAAUGAUUAAUAGAAGCAGUUUGGGGGCAUUAGUAUUACGACGCGAGAGGUGAAAUUCUUGGACCGUCGUAAGACUAACUUAAGCGAAAGCAUUUGCCAAAGAUGUUUUCAUUAAUCAAGAACGAAAGUUAGAGGUUCGAAGGCGAUCAGAUACCGCCCUAGUUCUAACCAUAAACGAUGCCAGCUAGCAAUUGGGUGUAGCUACUAUUAUGGCUCUCUCAGUCGCUUCCCGGGAAACCAAAGCUUUUGGGCUCCGAGGGAAGUAUGGUUGCAAAGCUGAAACUUAAAGGAAUUGACGGAAGGGCACCACCAGGAGUGGAGCCUGCGGCUUAAUUUGACCCAACACGGGAAAACUUACCAGGUCCGAACAUAAGCGUGUAAGACAGAUUGAUAGCUCUUUCUCGAAUCUAUGGGUGGUGGUGCAUGGCCGUUCUUAGUUCGUGGAGUGAUUUGUCUGGUUAAUUCCGAUAACGAACGAGACUCAAAUAUAUUAAAUAGAUGCUUUCAGGAUUAUGGUGUUUGAAACUUUUAUAGCCUUCAUUCAUGAAUGCAGUAACAUCU
rnacentral:rRNA from 1 species